rnacentral:rRNA from 1 species
GACGAACGCUGGCGGCGUGCUUAACACAUGCAAGUCGAGCGGUAAGGCCCCUUCGGGGGUACACGAGCGGCGAACGGGUGAGUAACACGUGAGCAAUCUGCCCUUCACUUUGGGAUAACUCUGGGAAACGAGAGCUAAUACCGAAUACGACCACUUCAGGCAUCUGAUGGUGGUGGAAAGUUCCGGCGGUGAAGGAUGAGCUCGCGGCCUAUCAGCUAGUUGGUGGAGUAACGGCCCACCAAGGCUUCGACGGGUAGCCGGCCUGAGAGGGUGACCGGCCACACUGGGACUGAGACACGGCCCAGACUCCUACGGGAGGCAGCAGUGGGGAAUAUUGGACAAUGGGCGAAAGCCUAAUCCAGCAACGCCGCGUGAGGGAUGACGGCC